GUCCCAAUAGCUCAGCUGGAUAGAGCAACAGCCUUCUAAGCUGUAGGUCGUAGGUUCGAAUCCUACUUGGGACA
rnacentral:tRNA from 2 species